rnacentral:lncRNA from 1 species
UUAUGCAGAUUUAUGCACGACGCUACUACACUCGCACAAACUGAGAAGAGUAAGUUCAUUGAGAAUGGAUUGAAACUAAUGAAGAGCUGGAAGGAGUUAACUGAUGAGUAGACAUUACAACAUUUCUUAUAUUUGCAAGAUGAAGCUGAAAGUCCCAUUGCAGGAUGAUGCUUCUCUACAGUGGAUGAUGAAGGCAUGCUGAUUACAAACCCAGGAGAGGAACAAAGAACAGAUAUUGACAGAAGCAUAUCUAGAGAUGCGGGCCUACUACACUUCAUACGAGCAAGUGUGCUAAUAUACAAUGUAGGUACCCCCAAUAACCUAUUGUAGAACACAUAUCAUGCAGAAAGUUAUAGAUCUGAAAAACAUAUUUUUCAUUGUCCGUUACUUGUAAAAGAAUACUUGACUGAAUAUCACAAUUGUGAUUUAGAUUUAAA